AACACAGAGACAAUGAAGACUUUAUUUAGCUUUCUUAUAUUACUAACAUAUUUUUCAGAUGUCCAGUCUUCAGCACAACUUACCCAGUCUGAUCCAGUGGCGAUAAAACCGGGAAAUUCCCACACACUGACCUGUAAAGCUUCUGGAUUCAACUUUGCUGGCUUUUGGAUGGCUUGGGUCAGGCAGCUUCCUAAUGGACAACUGCAAUGGUUGUGUGAGAUUCACCCUGAUAGUAGCACCAAAAACUAUAUUGAUUCUAUUAAAGGAAGAUUCACAGUCUCCAGAGAUAACAAUAAUAACAUGCUAAAUCUGAAAAUGGACAACAUGAAAACUGAAGACACUGCCGUGUAUUACUGUGCAAGAGACACACUGACUGGAAAUAUAUCUUCCGUUUCACAAAAACUAACAGCUGCCUUUCAUAUUCUAUCAGUAGAUGGCAGCACAAAUUUAAAAUUGUAA